GACUACCUGCAGUCGAGCGGAUGAAGGGAGCUUGCUCUCUGAUUCAGCGGCGGACGGGUGAGUAAUGCCUAGGAAUCUGCCUGGUAGUGGGGGAUAACGUUCCGAAAGGAACGCUAAUACCGCAUACGUCCUACGGGAGAAAGCGGGGGAUCUUCGGACCUCGCGCUAUCAGAUGAGCCUAGGUCGGAUUAGCUAGUUGGUGAGGUAAUGGCUCACCAAGGCGACGAUCCGUAACUGGUCUGAGAGGAUGAUCAGUCACACUGGAACUGAGACACGGUCCAGACUCCUACGGGAGGCAGCAGUGGGGAAUAUUGGACAAUGGGCGAAAGCCUGAUCCAGCCAUGCCGCGUGUGUGAAGAAGGUCUUCGGAUUGUAAAGCACUUUAAGUUGGGAGGAAGGGUAUUCACCUAAUACGUGAGUAUUUUGACGUUACCGACAGAAUAAGCACCGGCUAACUUCGUGCCAGCAGCCGCGGUAAUACGAAGGGUGCAAGCGUUAAUCGGAAUUACUGGGCGUAAAGCGCGCGUAGGUGGUUCGUUAAGUUGGAUGUGAAAGCCCCGGGCUCAACCUGGGAACUGCAUCCAAAACUGGCGAGCUAGAGUACGGUAGAGGGUGGUGGAAUUUCCUGUGUAGCGGUGAAAUGCGUAGAUAUAGGAAGGAACACCAGUGGCGAAGGCGACCACCUGGACUGAUACUGACACUGAGGUGCGAAAGCGUGGGGAGCAAACAGGAUUAGAUACCCUGGUAGUCCACGCCGUAAACGAUGUCAACUAGCCGUUGGGAUCCUUGAGAUCUUAGUGGCGCAGCUAACGCAUUAAGUUGACCGCCUGGGGAGUACGGCCGCAAGGUUAAAACUCAAAUGAAUUGACGGGGGCCCGCACAAGCGGUGGAGCAUGUGGUUUAAUUCGAAGCAACGCGAAGAACCUUACCUGGCCUUGACAUGCUGAAAACUUUCCAGAGAUGGAUUGGUGCCUUCGGGAACUCAGACCCAGGUGCUGCAUGGCUGUCGUCAGCUCGGGCCUGAGAUGUUGGGUUAAUUCCCGUACGAGGGCAACCUUGGCCUUAGUUCCCGCCGUUUUGGGGGGACCCUUAGG
rnacentral:rRNA from 1 species